UACGGGGGGGUGCGAGCGUUGUCCGGAAUCACUGGGCGUAAAGGGCGCGUAGGUGGUUUGAUAAGGGUGUGGUGAAAGUCCGGGGCUCAACCCCGGAUCUGCCGUGCCGACUGUCAAACUCGAGGGCUGUAGAGGCAGACGGAAUUCCGGGUGUAGCGGUGGAAUGCGUAGAGAUCCGGAGGAGGACCGGUGGCGAAGGCGGUCUGCUGGGCAGUUUCUGACGCUGAGGCACGAAAGCGUGGGGAGCGAACAGG
rnacentral:rRNA from 1 species